rnacentral:pre_miRNA from 1 species
UCUGGUUUCUGAGUUUAACAUUUGACCGUCCGUCUUAUUUGAAAAAAUUAUAAAAAAAAUUAAAAAGACAAGUCACACAUAAAAUAUUAAUCAUGUUUUAUCAUCUAACAACAAUGAAAAUACGAAUUAUAAAAAAAUUUCAUAUAAGACGGACAGUUAAAGUUGGACACAGAAACCCAGGGUUUACCUUUUU